rnacentral:rRNA from 1 species
GAUGAACGCUGGCGGCGUGCCUAAUACAUGCAAGUCGAGCGAACGGACGAGAAGCUUGCUUCUCUGAUGUUAGCGGCGGACGGGAGAGUAACACGUGGAUAACCUACCUAUAAGACUGGGAUAACUUCGGGAAACCGGAGCUAAUACCGGAUAAUAUUUUGAACCGCAUGGUUCAAAAGUGAAAGACGGUCUUGCUGUCACUUAUAGAUGGAUCCGCGCUGCAUUAGCUAGUUGGUAAGGUAACGGCUUACCAAGGCAACGAUGCAUAGCCGACCUGAGAGGGUGAUCGGCCACACGGGAACUGAGACACGGUCCAGACUCCUACGGGAGGCAGCAGUAGGGAAUCUUCCGCAAUGGGCGAAAGCCUGACGGAGCAACGCCGCGUGAGUGAUGAAGGUCUUCGGAUCGUAAAACUCUGUUAUUAGGGAAGAACAUAUGUGUAAGUAACUGUGCACAUCUUGACGGUACCUAAUCAGAAAGCCACGGCUAACUACGUG